rnacentral:rRNA from 1 species
CUCCGGUUGAUCCUGCCGGACCUGACUGCUAUCGGAUUGGUACUAAGCCAUGCGAGUCGUUGUAGCAAUACAAGGCGGACGGCUCAGUAACACGUAGUCAACCUAACCUAUGGACGUGGAUAACCUCGGGAAACUGAGAAUAAACCGCGAUAGAUCAUUAUGCCUGGAAUGGCUUAUGGUUCAAACAAUUUAUUGCCGUAGGAUGGGACUGCGGCCUAUCAGCUUGUUGGUGAGGUAAUGGCCCACCAAGGCUAUAACAGGUACGGGCUCUGAGAGGAGAAGCCCGGAGAUGGGUACUGAGACACGGACCCAGGCCCUAUGGGGCGCAGCAGGCGAGAAACCUUAGCAAUGUGCGAAAGCACGACUAGGUUAAUCCGAGUGAUUUCUGUUGAAGAAAUCUUUUGUCAGUCGUAAAACCACAGACGAAUAAGGGGUGGGCAAGUCUGGUGUCAGCCGCCGCGGUAAUACCAGCACCUCGAGUGGUCAGGAGGUUUAUUGGGCCUAAAGCAUCCGUAGCCGGCUACGCAAGUCUCCGGUUAAAUCCAGCUGCUCAACAGAUGGGCUGCCGGAGAUACUACAUAGCUAGGGAGCGGGAGAGGUAGACGGUAUUCUGUGGGUAGGGGUAAAAUCCACUGAUCCAUAGAGGACCACCAGUGGCGAAGGCGGUCUACCAGAACGCGUUCGACGGUGAGGGAUGAAAGCUGGGGGAGCAAACCGGAUUAGAUACCCGGGUAGUCCCAGCUGUAAACGAUGCAAACUCGGUGAUGCAUUGGCUUAUGGCCAAUGCAGUGCCGCAGGGAAGCCGUUAAGUUUGCCGCCUGGGAAGUACGGACGCAAGUCUGAAACUUAAAGGAAUUUGGCGGGGAGCA